CCUACGGGGGGCAGCAGUGGGGAAUAUUGGACAAUGGGGGGAACCCUGAUCCAGCGACGCCGCGUGAGUGAAGAAGUAUUUCGGUAUGUACAGCUCUAUCAGCAGGGAAGAAAGAAAUGACGGUACCUGACUAAGAAGCCCCGGCUAACUACGUGCCAGCAGCCGCGGUAAUACGUAGGGGGCAAGCGUUAUCCGGAUUUACUGGGUGGAAAGGGAGCGUAGACGGUUACGCAAGUCUGGAGUGAAAGGCGGGGGCCCAACCCCCGAACUGCUGUGGAAACUGUAUAAAUGGAGUGCAGGAGAGGUAAGUGGAAUUCCUGGUGUAGCGGUGAAAUGCGUAGAUAGUAGGAGGAACACCAGUGGCGAAGGCGGCUUACUGGACUGUAACUGACGUUGAGGCUCGAAAGCGUGGGGAGCAAACAGGAGUAGAUACCCGAGUAGUC
rnacentral:rRNA from 1 species